rnacentral:rRNA from 1 species
GACGAACGCUGGCGGCGUGCCUAAUACAUGCACGUAGAACGCAGUUGCGAACGGGUGAGUAACGCGUAGGUAACUGCCUGCUAGCGUGGGAUAACUAUUGGUAACGAUAGCUAAUACCGCAUACUACCACAUUGACCUGCGUUGUAUUAGCUAGUUGGUGGGUUUACCGCUCACCAAGGCAACGAUACAUAGCCGACCUUGUAGGGUGAUCGGCCACACUGUGACUGAGACACGGCCCAGACUCCUACGGGAGGCAGCAGUAGGGAAUCUUCGGCAAUGGGCGGAAGUCUGACCGAGCAACGCCGCGUGAGUGAAGAAGGUUUUCGGAUCGUAAAGCUCUGUUGUAAGAGAAGCGGUAUCUUACCAGAAAGGGACGGCUAAAUACGUGCCAGCAGCCGCGGUAAUUC